UCCCAUAAUUCUUAACCCUGAGGAAGGAGUUCUAAGCUUCAGACAAGUUAGUACAAAUCCAAGUAGAGUUGCUUGGCAACAAAAAAAUAAACAGUUUUGGAAGCAGUCAGCCAGAGAUUGGAAUCACCAACGUCCUCUUCUUGUUCAGUCUCUUGGAUCUAACUCCACUACUCCGCUGGGCAAGAAUGUGGGCUCUUAAAUUCUACAACUGUGAGCACUGUGGGAGUGAUUUUGUCAGCCACACAGCCCUAAAGUAUCACUUUUGACUGAAGCAUCUUGGAAAAGUUCACUGUGAAAAAUGCAGCCAAGAAGUCCUGAGGGAGAAGCUCCAAGAUCACAUCUGUGCAUGACAGGUCAACCAUGGAGACACACAACCUAAACUGGGAAAAUCUGGAGGACACGAGUACAAAGCACACAGCUACAAAAAUAUCAAAAACUCACAGGAUGUGUUCUAGGUACUUUGGAACAGUCCUUAGUCGGGAGAUCCACGAAAUACAAGAGCAUCACUUCCCAGCCAAUAAAAGAGGUACUGGAGGAGGUAGCAGGCAGAACUCCAGUCCCAAAGAAAAGGAAGGAACAAGACAGAAUAGCAGGUAGGCUUGGUCAUG